AGGGACCUGUCAAUCUAACGCGGAUCUGUUAAUCCCGCCCCCCCGGGGAUGCGAUUGGCCAGGCUGCCGCGGGGCGGGGCUUUCCGCUGGAUGUCCGGGCGGGGGGGCCGGCGAUUGGCCUGGGCUUCCUUUCGCUUCCGGGUAGCGGCCGCGCUCGUGGGGCUGCUGCUCCUCCCGCCUGGGCCCUGCGCCAUCCCCGGGAUGGACGGGCCGCGCUUCCCCUCCCGCACCCCCACCGCCGCCUCCGCGGGGCCGUGGGGAGGGCUGCACAGCAUGGCGGGGGGGGCCCUGCCGGGUGGCCGCUACUGUGCUCAGGCUCUCCCUUCGGGCCUGGGGGGACCCGAACACCCCCGGGCCCUGCCGGCGCUGCCGGCCCUCGGGCGGGAUCUGGGUUUUAUCCCGCUGGCCCUUUGGUGGUGCAGGCGGUGGUGGAGCUCCCUCGGGCCGGGGCUGUUUAAGAGCCAAGGGAAAUCCGUGGAGAAGGGACUGAGGGAGCCGGGCUGCGCUGGAGUGUCGGGCGGCUGUGCGGGGUGAAGCCGCGGUGCUAAAGCGUUUUCAGGUGGCAGCGGGGAAGCUGCUCUCAGAAAAGCAGCGCCGUUCAGUCGGCGCUUUUUGUCUCCGUAGGCAGCGGAGCUGUAUGUGGGCAGCUGGUAAAGGGCUGCAUGGGUCUGUCUUCCUUCGUGGCUUUGGCUGUGUUCAGGGACCGAUUUGUCUGCGUUCAGUUGUCCGGGUUUGGUUGGUUUUUGACGGGAUAAAGCAGGCGGUUUAUCUCACUGAGAAAGUAGCGGUGCUUUGCAUGCUCGGGUUUAGUGCUGGGAGGGGAGACCCGAGUAGCUUUGCACAGCUUGACCUGCCAGCUUGAGCUGGGUAAGGGUGGCAGCGGGAUGCAAGGAUGGGAGCAAGAUUGGGCUGGCUGCCUGCGCAAAAGGAUGGUUUAGUCGGUGCUGGAACAAGGGCAGAAGUGCCUGAUGUUAGCCAGAGAAGCGCUGGAUUUGGAACGUGUCCUGCAGACGGCCGUGCGUGCAGGCAGCUUUGCUUGAUCUCCUGGGCAGAUGCCGUAUGCUUUCCAAGAACCUGGCGCAGAGCGUGGCGGUCUCCUAAAGCAGCAGGGCCUGUCCUAUAAUGAUUUAAAUCAUCUGUUCAGAAGAAGUAUUAAUGGGAUUCCCAUAAGAUUCCUGACAUUUUGCUGAUGUUCCUGUUAGAAGACCUAUCACCUCAUUUUGAAAACAUUAUUAAAAGCACCAGUGUUCAAGCUGCGGGGCUUAAAUGCUCGCAGUUAGUCAUAAAUUGGGUUACCUUCAGGCAUUCUGCUGCAGAACAGAAUUAUUAUUUAUAAAUUUGUGGUUUAUUCUCAUAUGGUGUACAAGAAUGAUACUGUCAGCAGAAAGGUUUUUAUUUGUUUUUAAAAGGGGGAGGGUUAAGGUAGUUAGUGAGAAAGAAAGCCUUGUUUCAGCUUAUCGGAACAGAACACUUCUUUAUGUUCAAGUCCGAUAUCUCUGUGUCAUUCUGGGUUGUGAUAGUGACUGGAAAUGAAGUCCUUUAUUGUGCCCUAACAAUUGAGCUCUGUUUAGGUGGGGAUUUUUUGUUUAUUGAAGUUUUUAGGUGGGAUGGCUUGAGGUCCAGCUGUUCUGCAUGCCAGGUAAAUCAUCUCAGUGCACCAUUAGGGUAACAUCUGGAGGCACCAACAUAUCCUCAGUUCUGAGAGCAUUACAAAUGCUUAACAUGUACCUACAGUUCUGGGCUGCCUAAAUUGUGAACACUGAAAACACAUCUGUGAAAAGUUCCUGGUUAUUUUGGAAAUGUACUAGUUUGAAAAAGUUGUGCAACAAACAGCAGAAAUGUAAAAAUGCUGUGGGAGUUUUACUGGGUUUUACUGGGAAAUUGACAUUUUGGAAUCUGAACAGUAUCUAACUUCCUGUCCUGGAUCUAACCUGGAGAUCUGUAAGUGAGUUUGUUUCUGAACUGGAUAGGUAAUGAAAUAAUAUCUAUGGAUUUAUGGCAUAUUCCCAAGAUGGUGUUUGUGUUAGUCUUAAAGUACAACAGUCCAUUUCAUAAAUGAGAGAGGUGAAAAAUAUUUACACAAUUACCUGUGUCAGUUUAACUGAUGGGGAUAAACAUGACCUAAGGCACUUUUUGGACUUAAAUUAUCUAAGGAUGCCUUUGGCAGAGGGGGGUCAUACUAAUCGUCAAAGGGAAAAUGUCCGAGCCCCACAUUUAACAAAAAGAAUGUAAGAUCACAUUCAAGCUUGAUUGUAGAUCUUUAAAUGAGGCACUCUUUAGAUUUGAAGCUCACUUCUUAAUGACACUGAUAUCACUGUGUACCUCUUUUCACUCUGCUUUGUUAGUUGUGACACUGUCGUGAAGCAAGGACAAGUAAUACGACCUCUGUAAUAGAGAAGCAGAAUUAUUCUUUGGGAUAAGCAAGUUGCUUGCAACUGUUCUGAAUGAUGAAAAUCUUUUAGAUCCUUGUUUCUGAUUUGCAGGUGGUAGUGGUUCUUGAGUCUUUCAGUAUAACGGAGGAAGCAUAAUUUUAUAGGCAUCUAUUUCCAUGCAGAACUGAGAAAUACUACCUCUAAUGAGAAUACCUCUUGCCUCUUUUUACCCAGGAGUUAGGAAUGCUAAAGUCUUUCAUGGGCCUUAGAAAAAGACUGGCCAAACUCAAGAAAAAAAUUGAUCUGCUAAAUAAAAAGACACCAUUAUGGUAUCAAUUCCUGAGCCACAGAAGGCUAGGGAGUGGGGUUGUAACUAAACACAUGUCCUGUUCUUUGCUUCCUGUGCACUCACUUGUCCAGUGUCACAGAAACAGAGUCUUAAGCUCUGAGUAUGGUAAUUUGGACAAUUGUAAUUUAUUUAAAGUGCUGGAAGUGUCUCGGCCUUUAGUAAGGCUGGGAGAACCCCAGGGCACUCACUGCCUGUAGGAAAGAUUCUUGUGCCCCAGUUAAGGUCUGCCGGCACACUGUCACAGUAGCUUUCAUUGGCUUAGUUUGUUUUCAAAACGUGCAGGUGCCGUGAGGCAGCCGAGCAUCUGCGAUUAUCGUGUAUGUCGUGACCACGAGGGGGCCCUGGCAGCUCCGGUCUGGGCGAGCCCGGAGUUACGCGCAGCGCUGGAAGGGCAGGGCUGAUACCUUGCUGCCUCAGAGAGUGGUUACAUCCCUUCUUGUUCAGCACUUCUGAGUUACCUUACCUCUUCUAUAUAUUUUUUUUUUUCUAAUUACAGUGUUUUGCUGUGUAAUUUUGAGACAUGCACCACUUUACCAAAACUCACCUCAGCUUUAAUAAAUAGCACUGGCCGUUUGAUCUCUUCUUGUGGCAGAAGACAGAUAGUACCAAGUGUGUCAUCACAUGUGAGUUUCAUCUGUAUGAGCUAUUAUUUCCCCAAGUAAAAAUUCAAGACUUUUGCACACAUCGCUGUAUUUGUAAAACAGAUGGAAUUGCUAUGAAGAAUCUUAAUGAUAAGGUGUUUUGUAAAGAGUUUUUAAGCUUGGUACUACAAUAUUUCAAUAAAGAUUUUUUUCUCUACACA